CAGCUGGAAAAUCCUGGAUAUCUGAAAGUAUAGGAAACGGUUGUAGCAAAGGGAAGAUCGGUUUUCAUACUGCUGCAAUAUUUGUCUACUCAAGCAAGCUUUGCAAAUGCUGAACUGCAAAAUGAUAACGAGAUGGUGCCGAACAGCGACCUCUGCAUACCCAGUAAAUCCAAGAAAAAAUUGAAUCAAUGAAAGACGGCACCCAACAGGACGGACAAACAACCAAUGUGCAAAGGACAACAAACUGCACAAAGAGAG